GUGCUCGCUUCAGCAACACACACACUAAAAUUACAAUGAUACAGGGAAGAUUAGCAUGGCCCCUGUGCAAGGAUGACGUGCAAAUUCAUGAAGUGCUCCAUAUUAAA
ensembl:snRNA U6 U6 spliceosomal RNA